rnacentral:misc_RNA from 1 species
GAUGAAGAACGUAGCGAAAUGCGAUACUUGGUGUGAAUUGCAGAAUCCCGUGAACCAUCGAGUCUUUGAACGCAAGUUGCGCCCGAAGCCACUAGGCCGAGGGCACGCCUGCCUGGGCGUCACACGCCGUUGCCGCCCCAUCUACUCCUUCGGGAUUGCGGGGGGGCGGAUGAUGGCCUCCCGUGCGCCUAGCCGCGCGGUUGGCAUAAAUACCAAGUCCUCGGCGACGCACGCCACGACAAUCGGUGGUUGCGAAACCUCGGUUGCCCGUCGUGUGCGUUCGUCGCGCAUCGAGGGCUCGAAAAAAUGCUCGGCUCCGGCUGGGCUUUCAACGCGACCCCAGGUCAGGCGGGGUUACCCGCUGAAUUUAAGCAUAUCAAUAAGCGGAGGA